CCUACGGGUGGCUGCAGUGAGGAAUAUUGGUCAAUGGACGAGAGUCUGAACCAGCCAAGUAGCGUGAAGGAUGACUGCCCUAUGGGUUGUAAACUUCUUUUAUAUGGGAAUAAAAUGUUCCACGUGUGGGAUUUUGUAUGUACCAUCUGAAUAAGGAUCGGCUAACUCCGUGCCAGCAGCCGGGGUAAUACGGAGGUUCCGAGCGUUAUCCGGAUUUUUUGGGUUGAAAGGGAGCGUAGGUGGAUAGUUAAGUCAGUUGUGAAAGUUUGCGGCUCAACCGUUAAAUUGCCGUUGAAACUGGCAGUCUUGAGUACAGUAGAGGUGGGUGGAAUUCGUGGUGUAGCGGUGAAAUGCUUAGAUAUCACGAAGAACUCCGAUUGCGAAGGCAGUUCACUGGACUGCAACUGACACUGAGGCUCGAAAGUGUGGGUAUCAAACAGGAUUAGAUACCCUUGUAGUC
rnacentral:rRNA from 1 species